ACACUGUGCACAAAGAAAGAGUUGGUUGUCC
rnacentral:piRNA from 1 species